rnacentral:rRNA from 1 species
UGCGUAGGUGGCGCGCUAAGUCAGGUGUGAAAUUUCGGAGCUUAACUCCGAAACUGCAUUUGAUACUGGCGUGCUUGAGGACUGGAGAGGAGACUGGAAUUCACGGUGUAGCAGUGAAAUGCGUAGAGAUCGUGAGGAAGACCAGUGGCGAAGGCGGGUCUCUGGACAGUUCCUGACACUGAGGCACGGAAGGCCAGGGGAGCAAACG